GAUGAACGCUAGCGGCAGGCCUAAUACAUGCAAGUCGAACGGGUUCAAGUAGCAAUACUUGGAUCAGUGGCGCACGGGUGCGUAACGCGUAUGCAACCUACCUUAAACUGGGGGAUAGCCUUCCGAAAGGAAGAUUAAUACCGCAUAAGAUCACGAGAGGGCAUCUGAUUGUGAUUAAAGAUUUAUUGGUUUAAGAUGGGCAUGCGUGCCAUUAGCUAGUUGGUAGGGUAACGGCCUACCAAGGCUACGAUGGCUAGGGGUUCUGAGAGGAUGAUCCCCCACACUGGCACUGAGAUACGGGCCAGACUCCUACGGGAGGCAGCAGUAGGGAAUAUUGGGCAAUGGACGCAAGUCUGACCCAGCCAUGCCGCGUGCAGGAAGAAGGCCUUCUGGGUUGUAAACCUCUUUUAGCAGGGAAGAAGCGAAAGUGACGGUACCUGCAGAAAAAGCACCGGCUAACUACGUGU
rnacentral:rRNA from 1 species